rnacentral:rRNA from 1 species
AGUGGCGAACGGGUGAGUAAAGCAUCGGAACGUGCCCAGUAGUGGGGGAUAGCCCGGCGAAAGCCGGAUUAAUACCGCAUACGACCUAAGGGUGAAAGGGGGGGAUCGCAAGACCUCUCGCUAUUGGAGCGGCCGAUGUCAGAUUAGCUAGUUGGUGGGGUAAAGGCCUACCAAGGCGACGAUCUGUAGCUGGUCUGAGAGGACGACCAGCCACACUGGGACUGAGACACGGCCCAGACUCCUACGGGAGGCAGCAGUGGGGAAUUUUGGACAAUGGACGAAAGUCUGAUCCAGCCAUGCCGCGUGCGGGAAGAAGUGCCUUCGGGUUGUAAACCGUUUUUGUCAGGGAAAAAAUCUUCUGGGUUAAUAACUCGGGAGG